rnacentral:tRNA from 1 species
GAUGCCUUAGAGUAAUUGGUUAACUCGUCACUCUUUCAAGGUGGAGAUUAUGGGUUCAAGUCCCAUAGGCAUUA